GUGAUUAAAUCGAGCGUGUCUUCAUUGACCGCUCACCCUUCUCACCAUCCACAUACACCUGUGCACUGUUUAGCCUGAGCCGGUUUUCCGGUCCAGGUUAUCGUUUCAUACAAACUCUAGUCUUAUGAAUGUAAACGUUUUAAUAACAUAAUA
rnacentral:misc_RNA from 1 species